CAGUCGCCGCGGGAAUACGUAGGUGGCAAGCGUUGUCCGGAAUUAUUGGGCGUAAAGCGCGCGCAGGUGGUUUAAUAAGUCUGACGUGAAAGCCCACGGCUCAACCGUGGAGGGUCAUUGGAAACUGUUAAACUUGAGUGCAGGAGAGAAAAGUGGAAUUCCUAGUGUAGCGGUGAAAUGCGUAGAUAUUAGGGAGAACACCAGUGGCGAAGGCGACUUUCUGGACGAAAACUGACGCUGAGGCGCGAAAGCCAGGGGAGCGAACAGGAUUAGAUACCCGGGUAGUCCCUGUCUCUUAUAC
rnacentral:rRNA from 1 species